rnacentral:lncRNA from 1 species
AUGUCUUUCUUCCAGAACCCAAGUUUCCUCACCAUGGGCAUGUGGUCCCUCGGUGCAAGAGCCCUGGGGGCUGCUGCCUUGGCAUUGUUGCUGGCCAACACAGACAUGUUUCUCUCUAAGCCCCAGAAAGCGGCACUGGAGUACCUGGAGGAUAUAGACCUGAAAAUGCUGGAGAAGGAACCAAGGACUUUGAAAGCAAAGCAGCUAUGGGAAAAGAAAAUGGACCUGUGAUUAUGGCUGUGCGGAGGCCAGGCUGUUUCCUCUGUUGAGGGGAAGCUGCGGAUCUGUCCUCCCUAAAACCCAUGUGGACGAGCUGGGUGUCCCCCUCUAUGCAGUGGUAAAGGAGCACAUCAGGAAUGAAGUGAAGGAUUUCCAGCCUUAUUUUAAAAGAGAAACCUUCCUGGAUGAAAAGAAAAAGUUCUAUGGUCCACAAAGGCAGAAGAUGAUGUUUAUGGGAUUUAUCUGUCUGGGAGUGUGGUACUUCUGAGCCUGGAAUGGAGGCUUCUCUGGAAACCUGGAAGGAGAAGGCUUCAUCCUCAGGGAAGUUUUCGUGGUGGCAUCAGGAAACCAGGGGAUUCUUCUCGAGCACCGAGAAAAAGAAUUUGGAGACAAAGUAAACCUACUUUGUCUGGUUCUGGAGGCUGCUAAGAUGAUCAAACCACAGACUUUGGCCUCAGAGAAAA